AUUGAACGCUGGCGGCAGGCCUAACACAUGCAAGUCGAACGAGCGGCGGACGGGUGAGUAAUGUAUGGGGAACUGCCCGAUGGAGGGGGAUAACUACUGGAAACGGUGGCUAAUACCGCAUACUAUCGGAUGUACCCAGAUGGGAUUAGCUAGUAGGUGGGGUAACGGCUCACCUAGGCGACGAUCCCUAGCUGGUCUGAGAGGAUGACCAGCCACACUGGGACUGAGACACGGUCCAGACUCCUACGGGAGGCAGCAGUGGGGAAUAUUGCACAAUGGGCGCAAGCCUGAUGCAGCCAUGCCGCGUGUAUGAAGAAGGCCUUAGGGUUGUAAAGUACUUUCAGCGAGGAGGCGUUACUCGCAGAAGAAGCACCGGCUAACUCCGUGCCAGCAGCCGCGGUAAUAC
rnacentral:rRNA from 1 species